UGGACUCACAGUCGUGGCUGCCUCUUGCUCCGCCAGGGCCACCCGCCCAGGAGAAGCGGGAUUCUUCCGUGGAGCUGGCAAAGCGACCCUGGGAGAGGACCCUGUCUGGUACGAUCCCCACCACCACCACCGUUCAUCCGGUGCUGCCCAAUCCCCAGUACCACGUAUUUCUGCUGUGCUGGUAACCAAGUGAGAAAAUGAAGAUUUAAACCGGCUCAUUGUUCAAGGCCAGCCUGGACUACAUGGUGAGGCCCUGUCUCAAAAAAAAAGUUCCAGAGUCCAGAAGUUCAGAAUCGGUAUCAUCACUGCGCAGAAGUCAGAUAUCAUCAGGCUCCAGGGGAGAAUCGUUUCCUCACCUUGCCCCCACCGGGCUUCCGGGGUCUGCGGCGGUUCAUCACUCCAGACAUC